AAUAGAAUGCCUGAACAAAAGGGUUAUUUUGAUAGAAUAAAUUAUGUAAUUUUAUUACUUCUAUUA
rnacentral:tRNA from 1 species